GACGAACGAUGGCGGCGUGCUUAACACAUGCAAGUCGAACGAAGUGGCGAACGGGUGAGUAACGCGUAAUCAACCUGCCCUUCAGAGGGGGACAACAGUUGGAAACGACUGCUAAUACCGCAUACUGAAGGAGGGGAUUGCGUCUGAUUAGCUGGUGGGAGGGGUAACGGCCUACCAAGGCGAUGUUAAGUAGCCGGUCUGAUCGGAUUGACGGCCACAGUGGGACUGAGGCACGGCCCAGACGCCGACGGGCAGCAACAGUGGGGAAGCGUCCGCAAUGGACGUAAGUCUGACGCAGCAACGCCGCGUGAGUGAUUACGGCCUUCGGGUUUUAAAGCUCUGUUAAUCGGGACGCGGUACCGGAAUAGAAAGCCACGGCUAACUACGUGCCAGCCGCCGCGGUAAUUC
rnacentral:rRNA from 1 species